rnacentral:rRNA from 1 species
GACGGGUGAGUAACACGUGGGUAACCUGCCCAAGAGACUGGGAUAACACCUGGAAACAGAUGCUAAUACCGGAUAACAACACUAGACGCAUGUCUAGAGUUUAAAAGAUGGUUCUGCUAUCACUCUUGGAUGGACCUGCGGUGCAUUAGCUAGUUGGUAAGGUAACGGCUUACCAAGGCAAUGAUGCAUAGCCGAGUUGAGAGACUGAUCGGCCACAUUGGGACUGAGACACGGCCCAAACUCCUACGGGAGGCAGCAGUAGGGAAUCUUCCACAAUGGACGCAAGUCUGAUGGAGCAACGCCGCGUGAGUGAAGAAGGGUUUCGGCUCGUAAAGCUCUGUUGGUAGUGAAGAAAGAUAGAGGUAGUAACUGGCCUUUAUUUGACGGUAAUUACCUAGAAAGUGACGGCUAACUACGUGCCAGCAGCCGCGGUAAUACGUAGGUGGCAAGCGUUGUCCGGAUUUAUUGGGCGUAAAGCGAGUGCAGGCGGUUCAAUAAGUCUGAUGUGAAAGCCUUCGGCUCAACCGGAGAAUUGCAUCAGAAACUGUUGAACUUGAGUGCAGAAGAGGAGAGUGGAACUCCAUGUGUAGCGGUG